rnacentral:rRNA from 1 species
UACGAAGGGGGCUAGCGUUGCUCGGAAUCACUGGGCGUAAAGGGUGCGUAGGCGGGUCUUUAAGUCAGGGGUGAAUCCUGGAAGCUCGAACUCCAGCAACUAGCCUUUGAUACUGAGGAUCUUGAGUUCGGGAGAGGUGAGUGGAACUGCGAGUGUAGAGGUGAAAUUCGUAGAUAUUCGCAAGAACACCAGUGGCGAAGGCGGCUCACUGGCCCGGUACUGACGCUGAGGUGCGAAAGCGUGGGGAGCAACAGG